AGUGAACGCUGGCGGUAGGCCUAACACAUGCAAGUCGAACGGCAGCACAGUAAGAGCUUGCUCUUACGGGUGGCGAGUGGCGGACGGGUGAGGAAUACAUCGGAAUCUACUUUUUCGUGGGGGAUAACGUAGGGAAACUUACGCUAAUACCGCAUACGACCUACGGGUGAAAGCAGGGGAUCUUCGCACCUUGCGCGAUUGAAUGCGCCGAUGUCGGAUUAGCUAGUUGGCGGGGUAAAGGCCCACCAAGGCGACGAUCCGUAGCUGGUCUGAGAGGAUGAUCAGCCACACUGGAACUGAGACACGGUCCAGACUCCUACGGGAGGCAGCAGUGGGGAAUAUUGGACAAUGGGCGCAAGCCUGAUCCAGCCAUACCGCGUGGGUGAAGAAGGCCUUCGGGUUGUAAAGCCCUUUUGUUGGGAAAGAAAAGCAGCAGGUUAAUACCCCGCUGUUCUGACGGUACCCAAAGAAGAAGCACCGGCUAACUUCGUG
rnacentral:rRNA from 1 species